rnacentral:rRNA from 1 species
AUGAUGCCUGCAAUGGGAAAGGAUAUACACUUCGGAUCAUCAAUUGGUGGCGCUGGUGGCACGAACACUGCUAAUGGUGGUAAUGGUGGCAAUAUUGGUGCUCCUGCCUCGCGGGCCGACUCUUGCGCCAAGCCGCAGCAGGAGCUACCAUCUCUGACACAUCAGUAUGCGGAACAAUACGUGUAUGCAUACCCAGCACCACCGGCAUACGGCGGCCCUCCAAAGCCCCCGCCGGCGUAUCGCUAUGGCUAUGGGUAUGGUGGAGGUGGUUCUGGUGGGUACAGCUACGGCUACGGCUACCCCGAGCCCGAUGGUAUUUGGGAUGAACCUGCUGGGGCAUACGGCGGCGGCAGAUACCACCCACCACAGCCGCCGUAUUAUCAUGGCGGCGGUCGUGGUGGGUACCCUUCUCCUCAGUUUGGUCGUGGAGCUGGUGCUGGUAGCUAUAGCUACUACGGCGGUGGCGGUGGCGGUGGGGGCGGAUAUCCUCCCAGUUCAUUUCCGACUGCAGGGGGAGGAGGAGGCGGCGGCGGUCAUGGGGUCAGCAACGCCUACGGAGGGCCGCCGCAGCAGAAGCCGUACGUGAGCGCGGGGUGGCUAGCCGCCGGAGCUGCUACCGCCUAUGGAGCGUACCAGCACCACAUGCGCAAACAUCACGGAGGAGGAGGACAUGGGUACAGGCAUGGGCACGGAGGAUACGACGACGGUUGUACUUGUGGCGGCGAUGGUUACGGUUAUGGCUGCCGUGGCUGUGCCCCCCAUAUGCAUAUGCAUGGCGAGUUCGAGCACGAAGAGCACACCAAUAUCAAGUACUCUGCUCAUCAUGACGGCAAGUGCAAUGACGCCGUGAAAAAAAAGUGCAAUGACGCCGCCAGCAGCCCGCCCGUUACAGUAUUGGAUAAAUGA